rnacentral:rRNA from 1 species
AACGAACGCUGGCGGCAUGCCUAACACAUGCAAGUCGAACGAGACCUUCGGGUCUAGUGGCGCACGGGUGCGUAACGCGUGGGAACCUGCCCUUAGGUUCGGAAUAACUCCCCGAAAGGGGUGCUAAUACCGGAUAAUGUCUUCGGACCAAAGAUUUAUCGCCUUUGGAUGGGCCCGCGUUGGUUUAGCUAGUUGGUAGGGUAAAAGCCUACCAAGGCGACGAUCCAUAGCUGGUCUGAGAGGAUGAUCAGCCACACUGGGACUGAGACACGGCCCAGACUCCUACGGGAGGCAGCAGUGGGGAAUAUUGGACAAUGGGCGAAAGCCUGAUCCAGCAAUGCCGCGUGAGUGAUGAAGGCCUUAGGGUUGUAAAGCUCUUUUACCCGGGAUGAUAAUGACAGUACCGGGAGAAUAAGCUCCGGCUAACUCCGUG